AACGAACGCUGGCGGCAGGCCUAACACAUGCAAGUCGAACGCUCCAGCAAUGGAGAGUGGCAGACGGGUGAGUAACGCGUGGGAACCUUCCCAGUGGUACGGAAUAGCUCAGGGAAACUUGAGGUAAUACCGUAUACGCCCCUUGGGGGAAAGAUUUAUCGCCAUUGGAUGGGCCCGCGUAGGAUUAGCUAGUUGGUGAGGUAAUGGCUCACCAAGGCGACGAUCCUUAGCUGGUCUGAGAGGAUGAUCAGCCACACUGGGACUGAGACACGGCCCAGACUCCUACGGGAGGCAGCAGUGGGGAAUAUUGGACAAUGGGCGCAAGCCUGAUCCAGCCAUGCCGCGUGAGUGACGAAGGCCUUAGGGUUGUAAAGCUCUUUUGUCGGGGUACGAUAAUGACGGUACCCGAAGAAUAAGCUCCGGCUAACUUCGUGCCAGCAGCCGCGGU
rnacentral:rRNA from 1 species